rnacentral:lncRNA from 1 species
AACGUCAGCAUAAAAAGGAGCACCAACCCUACAGGCCCAACAAUCGCUGGACUCGGGGUACCCUGUUAACAGGAAAAGGGGCUGUGAGCCUGGAAGGGUUUCCCCCUGGGUUUGGCUGUGCUGCAUUUAAGGUGGCUGAGUGCUAUGUGGGCAGAAACAGCUACUGAGAUCAAUCUAAAAGGGACAACGGGAUCUUUAUGGUCUUAUUGAUCGAGAUUAUGUGUAAGUAAAUCAAUCUAAUGACUCAAUCUUAAACACCGCUUUUUUUAGAAGGGAAACAAACCAAACAGAAAUCCUGCAGUGCACCAGAAAAGCACCAGGUGUUACCUCUUCGGAAAUGCAUAGGAUACGAUUUUCAUGCAUUCUUUGGGAUUAUUUUAUGGUAACACUUAGGUCACAAAGAGGAACGUCUCAGUCAGUGCACCCUCAGCCAGAGCACAACACAUGUCACAAAGUGCAGGAGCUUUUAAACCAGAGGAACUGGAGAGGAAACGAAAGCAGUGUGACUGAGGACACGGCACACACCGGGAGGAGGGGAUUGAAGGGCUGAGAAGCGCACCCUGAACUGCGUUCCCUAGGUGUGCGUGUUUCCCACUUUCGGGCUCAGGCUGCAGACAGGACCCUGCACCGCGCGGACCGUCGAGUGCUUCUCUAUUUCCCCCCACGGAAUCCCUUUGUUCUUUCCUCUCACUUUGCAGCAGAGGCUGUAGUUGAUGUAUCGCCUUCCGCAGAUUUCGCCCCCCUUACAAAGCACAGCGGAGCACCCUCAGCGCUGCCGGAGGUGCCCGUUUGGCGGCGGGCCCGUCUCGCUCUCAGAGAGGGACGCGAAGCGGUAGCGGGGCGGAGGUAACCGGGCACCAGCCGGCAUCGCCCUCCCCGACCCCGCGGCUCCGGGCCGGGCUGCGCCCGCGCCUGCGCUGCCCGAAGGCGGAGGCGGCCGAGGGGCACCGGGCGUGAGGCGGCGGGGUCCGGCGUUCCACCCCGCCCGCCCCGAGCCGGAGACAAAGCGGACAAAGGAGCUCCCGCGCCCCGCGCUCGGCUCGGGAGCCCCCGGAGCUCCGUCACCGGCGGCGCGGAGAGAGGGGGAUCUCAGCGAGGAAGAUGCGGGCGGCGGAGCGGCGGGCGGAUGCGGAGCGCGGCCGUGCGGCGGAGGGAGCCGGCGGCCGCCGGCAGCGGGGCCGUCCCGGAGGGCGGGCGGCCCCUUGAGCGCGACCAAGGGAGGAUGGAGCCAGAAGCGGCUCGGGCUGACACGUGCGGCCGCGGCUAGGGCCACCCCCGUCCCCUCCCUCCCUCCUCCCCUCCCCGCGAUGCUGCACUCCCGCCGGCUCUCUCAGCGCGCUCGACGCGCGGCGGCGAUGGAGCCGAGCGGGCGGCUGUGAGGCUGUGAGGCGCAGCAUGGCCUCGGCGGACGGCGCGGCGCAGCAGCGUUGCCCCGGGGCGGAGCGGG